UAAUUAACAGCACAUAUAUUCCUAUGUACAUAUUUACAUAUGUUGUGGUUUGGUGGUUGCAAGCGAUACAAAAUGCACAUCGGUGUCCAAUAAAGGAGAAAUUCUCUCCAUCCGGUUGGAAUAUUAUAAAAGAGCGUCCUCUUGGCCAGGGUCACAAUGUCAAGGUCACAGUCUUUAUAUCGCGUCAUACAACUUCCUUGGUCCUCCAUCCCGUCAACUAUUGCAGAUUUAAAUUCUGUCGAUUUUUCACAAGGAGAGACAAGUUAUGCACUUUUACCUGAAAAAAUGAUACGUCCGGACGAACCAAUUUGGUAAAAAUGAUAAAAACCCGUGUGAAUGACAAGCCAACAAUUUUCUACAUUCAUCCCGAAACGGAGGAACAAAUAAAAAUAAACUUUCCGUAAAAUCGGGAUAGUUGAUGCUUCUUGAUGUGGUGUAAUUGUUCCCCUGGUCGAAAAGGUUGUCAGGAUUGAGGUUAAGGUCAAAUCCUCUCCUUUCCACGAGGUCGUCAUCCGUGGGGACGGAAUGCAUAUGGUAUCGCCUCGGAGGAAGGCCGAAAAUCCACUAAUUACCCAAACCGGCGCAAAAGCUAGUCCAGCGAAACAAAUGAGGGCGAGACUGGCAGCCAGCGCGAUCGACAAGGGUCCUGCGAUCGGUGCGCGGAGCUAUUCCAUUAAUUUUAAUUGGCCAAUUAAAAUAAAAUAACUCUUAAAAAGUGUAAAUAUGUAUGACGACCUCGCAAAGUUUUACAUUUCGGUAUUUUAUUUACUAGCAUCGUCUCAAAAUUUCUCAUGAAAAUUAAUGCAGAGUUAUCCAAUAAUCUGGUAAUUGUACUCACCGUAUUGGACACAUCCCAUGGAAGGGAGAAGAUAAAUCCGAUAUUUACUGGUUCCUGGUUCGUCUUGGAGAAAGUGGGAGGAGGAAGGGCGACGAAUAAAGUUAGGAGAAUAUUUCUUCCAGGGAAGAACAUUUUUGAGCAAAAGUGGAAAUUUGUUCUGUAUUUUAGAGUACCAAAAUUAAAAUGAAAUUGAAAACGAAACGCAUGUACAUAUUUGAACCUGAACUUGAAAGGGAAUUGAGGAAAUAAGGAGUUAAUUAAAAACCUCAUUAGAAGAAUUAUAUUUAACCAAAUAUACAUACAGAAAAUCACUCUCCCUUCAAAAAAUGAUGAGACAAGUUCAAUAAUCUUCUUGCUAUAACGGCACAUUCACUUAAAUGGUAGACUAAUUACAGUAGAAAUCUAAUAUAUAUAUUUUUUACUUCUCACACAAAAUCCUUCCAAAAUCGUGUUCAAAAAUCAUUUCUCAAAAUUUCGCUAAAACUUGCAUAAACAUGAAAGUUUCCACAUUUUCCGUUGUGAUUUUAUUGCUUAUGUCCUCCGUCCCUGUUGUCCCGAAGGGCCAGUUUGUUCAACCCUUAAAUAUGGGAAUGCAAGUCGCCAUCCCGUACGACAUUGCCAAUAUUUUCAACCGCCCGAUAAACUUUGGUCCAAUUUCUGCCCUCAUUUCGACCGGAAGUCUGCUGUACAUCCUCUUCUUUGGCGUUAUCACGUCACCAUUUGGAUAUUUUUUUGGCAUCCCGUCAGAAAAGUAUGUGCUCGGUGAUACCUGGCCAAUCAAGCAGGAUGGAAAAGAAAGAAUUUGGGAUGAAAAUAAUAAUCACUACAAUCAGCCAAGAAAUUUGAGACAAGAUGUAACCACGGUUUUACCACCUCGAGAUUUUGAGGAGCACGUGUUCUCUGGUCGGUUGGGGGAGGACUUGAGAGACGACGAGUGUCGAAAAAUGGUCAUUUGUAGUGCCCACAAUGGACUAAGGAAUCUUCCCGAAUGGUUCAUGAAAGGAUAUAAAUU